GACGAACGCUGGCGGCGUGCCUAAUACAUGCAAGUAGAACGCUGAAGGAGGAGCUUGCUUCUCUGGAUGAGUUGCGAACGGGUGAGUAACGCGUAGGUAACCUGCCUGGUAGCGGGGGAUAACUAUUGGAAACGAUAGCUAAUACCGCAUAACAGUAGAUAUCGCAUGAUAUCUACUUGAAAGGUGCAAUUGCAUCACUACCAGAUGGACCUGCGUUAUAUUAGCUAGUUGGUGAGGUAACGGCUCACCAAGGCGACGAUACAUAGCCGACCUGAGAGGGUGAUCGGCCACACUGGGACUGAGACACGGCCCAGACUCCUACGGGAGGCAGCAGUAGGGAAUCUUCGGCAAUGGACGGAAGUCUGACCGAGCAACGCCGCGUGAGUGAAGAAGGUUUUCGGAUCGUAAAGCUCUGUUGUAAGAGAAGAACGAGUGUGAGAGUGGAAAGUUCACACUGUGACGGUAUCUUACCAGAAAGGGACGGCUAACUACGUG
rnacentral:rRNA from 1 species